GUUGCUUCUAGGAUGUGCAUUUUCCUAUCAAUGGAAGAUGUGCUCAGUAGGAAGCAUAUAUUAAAUUUCCAGUCUAAUUACAGCCUGUUGCUUUUUAAUGUGCAUCAGGUUUACCUGUCUCCUGGUAAAUCU